AUGGCGGCCGCGGCCCCGGGCAACAGCCGCGCAUCGGCGCCCAGGCCGCUUCUGCUCUUGCUGGUUCAGCUACUGUGGGCCCCGGCUGGGGUCCGGGCGGGUCCGGAUGAAGACCUUAGCCACCGGAACAAAGAACCGCUGGCGCCUGCCCAGCAGCUGCAGUAGCAGCCGGUGGCCGUGCAGGGCCCCGAGCCGGCCCGGGUUGAGAAAGCAUUUACACCAGCAGCUCCAGUUCAUACCAAUAAGGAAGAUCCUGCUGCCCAAACUGAUUUGGGCUUUAUGCAUGCAUUUGUCGCUGCCAUAUCAGUUGUCAUUGUAUCUGAAUUGGGUGAUAAGACAUUUUUUACAGCAACCAUCAUGGCAAUGCGCUAUAACCGCCUAACCGUUCUGGCUGGUGCAAUGCUUGCCUUGGGACUAAUGACGUUCUUGUCAGUUUUGUUUGGCUAUGCCACCACAGUCAUCCCCAGGGUCUAUACAUACUAUGUUUCAACUGUGUUAUUUGCCAUUUUUGGCAUUAGAAUGCUGCGGGAAGGCUUGAGGAUGAGCCCUGAGGAAAGUCAAGAGAAACUGGAAGAAGUUCAGGCUGAAUUAAAGAAAAAACAUGAAGAAUUUCAACAAACCAAACUUUUAAAUGGACCAGGAGAUGUCGAAACAGGAACAAGCACAAUAGUACCUCAGAAAAAGUGGUUGCAUUUUAUUUCACCCAUUUUUGUUCAAGCUCUUACAUUAACAUUCUUAGCAGAAUGGGGUGAUCGCUCUCAACUACAAUUGUAUUGGCAGCAAGAGAGGACCCCUAUGGUGUAGCCGUGGGUGAACCAUGGGGCACUCCCUGUGCACGGGACUGGCAGUAAUUGGAGGAAGAAUGAUAGCACAGAAAAUCUCUGUCAGAACUAUGACAAUCAUUGGAGGCAUCGUGUUUUUGGCGUUUGCAUUUUCUGCAUUAUUUAUAAGCCCUGAUUCUGGUUUUUAACAAGCUAUUUGUUCAUCUGUAUUUAGUUUAAAAUAGGUAAUGUUAUCUUUCUGUACAUAGUGUAAAUUACAACUAAAAUGAUGGAAAAAUACUGUAUUUUGUAGCAUCGAUUUGUGAGUUAGACCUAUUUAAUGAAAAUAUUGUGUCUUGAGAUAUAGUCAUUGAUUCUAUUUGUAACAGGGAGUUUUAAAAGAAACCUGACUCCUCAGUGUGGGUUUUUCCUCUCUCCAGCAUGAUUAUGUUGCUAUGGUCCCCAUUUCUGUUUUGGUGCAGAGCGGUUGUGCAGUGGGGUCUGCCAUGUGAUUUUCUUUCGGCACUGACCCCUUUUUAAGAAAUAAACAUUUCCUCCUUGAUGACUUAAAUGUUUUAAGAGGUUCACCUCAACAUUUUUCUUGGGGAAAGAAUGGAUUAAUUUCUAUUUUUUAAAACAUUUCCCUGAGCCAGUAAGCAGUAGUUUAAUCAUCCAUCUUUUCAAAAUUUGGUUGCUUUUUUAAAAAAAUGAGAGAGACAUAUACAAUAUUACUGUUAUAUCAAUAACAUGGUACAACAAGAACUGUCUGCCAGGUCAUUCUACCUUUUUUUUUUUUAAUUGGGUAGGACACCCAAUAUAAACACAGUCAAUAUUUGACAAUGUGGAAUUACCCAAUUAAAAGAGAAUACUAUGAAUGUAUUCAUAUUUGUUCUGUUAUUGAAUAAACAAUGUAACAUAGAUACAAUAUAAAUAAAAGUGGUAUGACUAGUGAAAAA